GACGAACGCUGGCGGCGUGCCUAAUACAUGCAAGUCGAGCGGACUUGACAGAGCUUGCUCUGUUCAAGUUAGCGGCGGACGGGUGAGUAACACGUGGGCAACCUGCCCUGCAGAUUGGGAUAACUCCGGGAAACCGGGGCAAAUACCGAAUAAUAUGGAAAACCUCAUGGUUUUCUUUUAAAAGGCGGCUUCGGCUGUCACUGCAGGAUGGGCCCGCGGCGCAUUAGCUAGGUUGGUGAGGUAACGGCUCACCAAGGCGACGAUGCGUAGCCGACCGGAGAGGGUACUCGGCAACACUGGGACUGAUACACGGCCCAGACACCUAGGGGAGGCAGCAGUAGUGAAUCUUCCGCAAUGGACGAAAGUCUGACGGAGCAACGCCGCGUGAGUGAAGAAGGUUUUCGGAUCGUAAACCUCUGUUGUUAGGGAAGAACACGUAUCGGAGUAACUGCCGGUACCUUGACGGUACGUGACCAGAAAGCCACGGCUAACUACGUGCCAGCAGCCGCAGUAACAC
rnacentral:rRNA from 1 species